rnacentral:rRNA from 1 species
CCUACGGGUGGCAGCAGUGAGGAAUAUUGGACAAUGGGCGGAAGCCUGAACCAGCCAAGUAGCGUGCAGGAUGACGGCCCUACGGGUUGUAAACUGCUUUUAUACGGGAAUAAAGCGCCGUACGUGGAGGGCUUUGCAUGUACCGUAUGAAUAAGGACCGGCUAAUUCCGUGCCAGCAGCCGCGGUAAGACGGAAGGUCCGGGCGUUAUCCGGAUUUAUUGGGGUGAAAGGGAGCGUAGGCCGCAUGUCAAGCGUGCUGUGAAAGGUCCGGGCUCAACCCGGGCCUUGCAGCGCUAACUGGCGUGCUUGAGUCCGCGUCAGGCAUGCGUACUUCGUCGUGUAGCGGU